GCAGCUUGCUGCUUUGAGACCGGCGCACGGGUGCGUAACGCGUAUACAAUCUACCUUUUACAGAGGGAUAGCCCAGAGAAAUUUGGAUUAAUACCUCAUAGUAUUUUCGAAUCGCAUGAUUUGAUCAUUAAAGUUCCAACGGUAAAAGAUGAGUAUGCGUCCCAUUAGCUAGAUGGUAAGGUAACGGCUUACCAUGGCAACGAUGGGUAGGGGUCCUGAGAGGGAGAUCCCCCACACUGGUACUGAGACACGGACCAGACUCCUACGGGAGGCAGCAGUGAGGAAUAUUGGACAAUGGGCGCAAGCCUGAUCCAGCCAUGCCGCGUGCAGGAAGACGGUCCUAUGGAUUGUAAACUGCUUUUAUACAGGAAGAAACACACCCUCGUGAGGGUACUUGACGGUACUGUAUGAAUAAGCAUCGGCUAACUCCGUGCCAGCAGCCGCGGUAAUACGGAGGAUGCAAGCGUUAUCCGGAAUCAUUGGGUUUAAAGGGUCCGU
rnacentral:rRNA from 1 species